AAGGCUAGGAGUUUGAUCCAUUACAUCAAUCAAUACUUCAUAAUACUUAGGACAAACUUAGCAUGAAUCCAAAGUACCUUAAAUGAUCCAAGAUCAAUUAAGGGGUAGAUUUUAAAUGAUGAAAGUUCAUCAAGCACCAAUCCGCAAUCAUGAUGAACAAGAUGGACACAAACCAUUCAAUUGAUCAAGAGGAAAAGAAAGAGAUUAAGAGGAAAAGGAA
rnacentral:lncRNA from 1 species